UACGUAGGGGGCAAGCGUUGUCCGGAUUUAUUGGGCGUAAAGAGCGUGUAGGCGGCCUGACAGGUCUGCUGUGAAAACUCGAGGCUCAACCUCGAGAUGUCGGCGGAAACCGUCUGGCUAGAGUCCGGAAGAGGAGAGUGGAAUUCCUGGUGUAGCGGUGAAAUGCGCAGAUAUCAGGAGGAACACCGAUGGCGAAGGCAGCUCGCUGGGACGGUACUGACGCUGAGACGCGAAAGCGUGGGGAGCGAACAGG
rnacentral:rRNA from 1 species